GCGGACAGGGGCGUUGGGCCAGCCGGGCAGAGCCCCGCCCCGCCCCUCCCCACCCUCGGCCCCUGCCCCGCAGCUCCUCCUCCAGCACACCAGGCCCGUACAACCUCAGGGCCUUUGCACCAGCUAUGCCCUCCCUGGAGUGCGCUUCCCCAGACCUCCCCAGGCUCCUCCCAGUCUUUGCCUCUCUGGGGGAGAGGGGCCUCCCCAACUCCCUGCCCUCUUCCUCUACUUUUUUUUCCUGGCGGUCAUCACAUUAGACCCACUGUCUGGGGUCCUCAGGAGUUUCCUCUCUCCCACAUCUGCCCAGGAGCCCACAGCAGGGGGCUUAUCUGUUGGUCACUGUUAUAGCCCCAGUACCCAGAACGCUGCCCAGGGGGCCGAGGAUCAUCUGCUGACUCAGCCAACGGGCACCUGCCCACGGACUCUCCAGCGGCCCUCCCGCUGAUGAUGCCUGCACUGACAGGCUCUCUGGGGCCGGACCCCGUGCCCACCUUUCCUCCUCGCACAGGCCAAGAGUUGAACCACAGAUGUGGCUCAAACCUGGCUGUUGCCUGUUUCUGUAAAGAUUUGUUGGCAUAUGGCCAUGUCAGUCCCAGAUGGGCUGCCUGUGGCUGCAACGGCUGGGGGCCAAGGGACACACCAAGGAUCAGCUGCCUCUUGAGGACCCUGCGCUCUUUGCUUCCUUCAUCUGGAAAAUGAGGGUCCUAAUCCCCGAAUCUCAGGAUUCUUGGGAGGACAGAGGACACCCACAUGAAUUCCCACUGAGUCAGACGGUGUAAACCAAGGUGACUCCCAGCUCUGAGUCACCCCCGCCUCCCUCUCACUCAGGACUCACCUGGCCCGGCUUCCGCUUCUCGCCCAUCGGCCAAGGAUAAGGGGCUCCUGGCUGCGACCCCACCUUCUGAGUUCACCACUGGCUCUGUCUCUUGGGAGACCAGGUGAACCCAGGUGCCAGGGCACAUCAGCCACCAGCACCUGCCACUCACCCUCUGUGCCCCUCCUCUCCCAACUGUCACCAGCCCCUGGCUCCAGCACCCCUGAAGUGCUGUGCACAGCAUCCCCUGAAUAUAGGUCCAUCCAGCACCUCUGAGUGUGACCAUAUUUGGAAAUGGGGUCUCUGCAGAUGUGAUCAGCUCAGGAUCUGGAGAUGAGGUGGCCCUAUAUCCAAUGCCAAGUGUCCUAUUAAGAGAGAGGACAGAGACACGGAGAAGCCAUGGGGAAGACAAGGCAGAGAUGGGAGGGAAGCAGUCACAAGCCCAGGACACCUGGAGCCCCCAGGGGCCAGAAGAGGCAGGAAGGACCCUCCCCUGGAGCCUCCAGAGAGAACACAGCCCUGACACACCUUGAUUUCAGAUUCUGGCCUCCAGAACAGUGGAGGAUACAUGUCUGUUGUUUCAAGUCCCCAAGUCUGUGGUCAUUUGUUACAGCAGCUCUAGGAAUCUCAAACAGCCCCCUUGGCUAUAAAUCCAUCAGACACUUCCCAGCCCUCAUCUAUCGGGCCAUCGGACACAGGGCCACUGACAGCCCACAAAGUGUCUCUGUGUGAAUCAGG